rnacentral:rRNA from 1 species
UACGAAGGGGGCUAGCGUUGCUCGGAAUGACUGGGCGUAAAGGGCGCGUAGGCGGCUUACAUAGUUAGGCGUGAAAUUCCUGGGCUCAACCUGGGGACUGCGUCUAAUACAUGUAGGCUUGAGUGUGAAAGAGGGUCGUGGAAUUUCCAGUGUAGAGGUGAAAUUCGUAGAUAUUGGAAAGAACACCAGUGGCGAAGGCGGCGACCUGGUUCAUUACUGACGCUGAGGCGCGAAAGCGUCGGGAGCAAACAGG